CGUUCUCACGCUGAAGAAGUCUCCUUCAGAACACAUCGCGAUAUUUGGCAUCAGUUCGCGUGUGCUGGAUGUUGCUGAAAAGACAAAAAGGGCCUUUUGGAAAUGGAUGAAGGAGACAGAAAGCUGCAAAGGCAAAUAAUUGCAAUGAAGGAAAUCCUACGGUUAUGUAUGAACUCACAACAUUAUCAUCAAGUGCUGUGCUGGGCACAUUGGGUAACAAGUGUCCUCCAACGUAUCCAAUCUGUGACCACAUUCUCCACAUCUUCCCAUGGGACACCGACAUUCUUCAGGCCUUCGUUUCCAUGUCUUCCCCUGCAUUCUCCUGGUGGUGUCCACUUCAUAUCUGUCUUUGGGUGUUGUUGUUUGGUCAUGCUUAGGGUGUGUCCGGGGAGGUGCACCCUUCACUCUGUCACAGUUUUUAAAAGUCUUCACGUGGACUCCUCCUUAUGAUCUCCUUGAAACGUGCAGAACCAAUAUUGAAAAUAGUAAUUUAUCUUUUUCCAUAUUCUUGCCUUUAUCAAAGAAGCACCAGUGCUCAUCCGGAGUUUUGGUAAAAGUUCUAGUAAUGCUGCGACUAUAGUCAAAUAUGUAUUUCUGCAUGUGUGUAUAGCAGGUAUUUGUCCGAACAAUUGAAGUUAGUGAGAGUGUUCAGGAAAACCCUCUGAGAACAAUCAAUAUUUAUUUAAUUCUGUUUGGUGCUGAUAUAGAGUAUUACAGAAAUGACACAUUGACAUUCUGGACAUUAUUCUGUGAGUUUGUUACCUCUUCAUUUAGAUGGACUUGAAAAUGUCUUGCAUUUUGUUUCAUUAAACCUUUUAUUACAGUGUCGCUAUAGUAAAUGUCCACCUUAACUACAUCUAUGGUAUCAUUAUAUCAGUACCUGGAUAAUGUAAAUGUAACAUACCCAUGAAUGUAUUUUAUAGAAGCAUUUUAUUGCUGAAAAUAUUUAACAUUUAUAAAAUGCAUUAACUAUU